AUUGACCGCUGGCGGCAGGCCUAACACAUGCAAGUCGAACGAGUGGCGGACGGGUGAGGUAUGUCGGGGAAUGUGCACGCUGGAGGGGGAACACUAAUGGAAAAGGUAGAUAAUACCGUAUAAGACAGGAUGUGCACAGAUGGGAGUAGCUUGGAGGUGGGGUAACGGCUCACCUAGGCGACGCUCCCUAGCUGGUCAGAGAGGAUGACCAGCCACACUGGAACUGAGACACGGCCCAGACUCCUACGGGAGGCAGCAGUGGGGAAUAUUGCACAAUGGGCGCAAGCCUUAGGCAGACAUGCGGCGUGUAUGAAGAAGGCCUUCGGGUUGUAAAGUACUUUCAGCGAGGAGGCGUUACUCGCAGAAGAAGCACCGGCUAACUCCGUGCCAGCAGCCGCGGUAAUUC
rnacentral:rRNA from 1 species